AUCCCUUGAUCAUGAUGUAUUAUCCUUUUCAUAUAUCCCUGGAUUUAAUUUGUUUGUAUUUUAAGAUGUUUUGCGUUUAUGAGGUAUAUUAGUCUAAAGGCUUUUUUUUUUUUCUUUUAAUGUCUUUGUCUGGUUUUGCUCUCAGCGAGAUGUCUGUUCUAUAAAAUGGAAAGCGUUCCCCCUUGUUUUCUGAUGUUUUGUCCAAGAGAAGGGAAGUCUCCUUGGAUCAGAGUUCCAUUUAAGCUCACCGAGGACUCUGCACUCAUCCCCAUACUGUUUCAUGCUUCCUCCGUCUUGACUCAGCCGCUGCCCCAUUCUAGAACCUGGGAAUCCUAUCAGAAUCCUCCAGCCUUUCCUCUUCACAUGCAACAAAGUCUGUUGAUUCCAAGCUCCGCCCCCUAACUCCCCAAUGUUUCUCAACUCUCACCCAACAGUCCUCGUCUUGAUUCAAAUCCUUAUUACCCACUAGCUGGCAGGUUCAACCGAGACUGGUCACUAGUCUGCUCUGCGAUGUAGCCUCCGAAACUUGAGGCUUUCAGGAUCAAACCCCAACCUCUUGUGCCCCACCCCUCAACCUGACGCGUACAGAGCUACACUUUUCCCUCCGGCCGUGCUAUUUUUGCAGCUUCUAGAAAGGUACAAGGUUUCAUGCUUCGCCUUUUGGCACUACCUGAGUGUUCCUCCCUGCCUUCUUCCGAAUGACUCGUUCUGCUAGGGCUAGACGUGUAGGACGGGGCGAGACCCUCCUUCCGCAUUCCAAGAGUACACGGAGUCGCCAACGAUCUUCUUUUCAGCCCGUUUGCCCACUCCACUGAGUCCUUCCCAGCCAAGGACCAAGUCCUUGAACAGUGCCUGUAAUUACGACCGCGGAUACUGGCUGAGGCCACGGAACCACAGCAGAAGAAUGAAUAUGAGCGAUUUGUUGGCUGUUUAAAAGUUCCAGUCCACCAAGACUAAAGACUGAGGCGGAACUAAUAGUUGGCUUAAACAUAGUGGGAAAACAAAACAAAACACUGGCACUGGGGUUAUGACCUUCCUUGAAACUUUGUGAGACCAGCCAUGAAGGGAAUGGACACAUGAAGGGCAAUGUCCACAGGCCGGUAAAAGUUCCAGAGACCAAGAGCAGAUAUGCUACCCGUGACUUCAUCCCUUUACCCCCUCCCACACCUUUCCCCCCAAAAAGAAAGAAUACUGGAAUGCAAGUGUGUGAAUACUGGAUGAAUAAGAAUGUUACUACAAGUCAAGUCACUAGUCAUUCUGAUGAUGUGAGAACAGGUAAACUAUUCUUGACAUAUAAUGAGUGAAUAAGACUCAGGCAUGAUGCUGUAACACUCAGUAUGAGAACCAGUACACAAGACACUCUCUAAACUCAACUUAUAUUAUUAUGACACACAUGCAGUAUCACACCAGGCUGCCGAAUCAGAUAGCUUAUUAGCUUUUAUCCUUAUCAAAUCUUUGCUGAACUCUUCAAAAAAUGCCAUCUGUGACAUGCCAUGGAGAUUUUGUCAGGAUUAAGGCACCUAAGGGCAGAUGGGCAUCAUCUGAUAAGAGAAAAAUGGGGAUUUUUUCAGAGUAAGAAUUAUGGACUGAAAUGUCUAGGAACCAAUCUAUUCUAAGCCAUCAUGUUAAAAUGUGUCUAUCUCUAAGGAGAGCAUUGGAAAGUUCAGAACCCUUCAGGGUGGCAGUUCCCCAGGGCUGCAGUCUGUUCGCACACAAUUCUGAAACACGAUCUAUCCUUCUACCCGCAUUCUGACAGGAGGAUGCAGCGUGCUGUCCAGGGGCUACUGGCCGUGUGACACCAUGACAGACUGGAUGCAGAUACAGAUAAGAGAAUCCAGCUGACUUCUGAGCUGGACAUUAAAACAAAGCCACUUUCCUCAUUAAUUUUUUUGAAAAAAAAA